rnacentral:rRNA from 1 species
UACGGAGGAUGCGAGCGUUAUCCGGAUUUAUUGGGUUUAAAGGGUGCGUAGGCGGGCUUAUAAGUCAGCUGUGAAAGUUUGCGGCUCAACCGUAAAAUUGCAGUUGAUACUGUAAGUCUUGAGUGCAUGUGAGGUGGGCGGAAUUCGUGGUGUAGCGGUGAAAUGCUUAGAUAUCACGAAGAACUCCGAUUGCGAAGGCAGCUCACUAGUCUGCAACUGACGCUGAUGCACGAAAGUGUGGGUAUCAAACAGG